CGACGAAGCAACGCCGCGUGGAGGAUGAAGGCCUUCGGGUCGUAAACUCCUGUCGACCGGGACGAAAGUAGUCUGACCUAAUACGUCGGGCUGUUGACUGUACCGGUGGAGGAAGCCACGGCUAACUCUGUGCCAGCAGCCGCGGUAAUACAGAGGUGGCAAGCGUUGUUCGGAAUUACUGGGCGUAAAGGGCGCGUAGGCGGCCUGGUCAGUCCCGUGUGAAAUCCCUCGGCUCAACUGAGGAACUGCACGGGAAACUGCCUGGCUUGAGUUCGGGAGAGGGAAGCGGAAUUCCGGGUGUAGCGGUGAAAUGCGUAGAUAUCCGGAGGAACACCGGUGGCGAAGGCGGCUUCCUGGACCGACACUGACGCUGAGGCGCGAAAGCUAGGGGAGCAAACGGGAUUAGAUACCCCGGUAGUCCUAGCUGUAAACGAUGAGUGCUGGGUGUAGGGGGUAUCAACCCCUCCUGUGCCGAAGCUAACGCAUUAAGCACUCCGCCUGGGGAGUACGGUCGCAAGGCUG
rnacentral:rRNA from 1 species